GAUGCCAUAUAGCAAUAUUCCAGCAAUAUCAUGUCAGGGACACGAGAAAUGGGCUUCACACAUUAUGCCCGUGUGGGGAGUCAAACCCAUGAGUC